GUUGAUCACAGGCUAUGAGGGAGUUCCCAGUCAUUUUGCUAUUCCGGUUUUAUGUGUUUUGAUCAUAGUAAUAUAGUAUGGUAAUGAACUAUAGUAUAUCAUACUAUGCUGAAUUGCAUUUAGUCAGCAGUCCACUUAUGAAGCCUAAAGACUGUUCAGAGUAACUCACUGCACCCCUCAAACUAAUACUGGUUGACUGAUCAUGACAUCAGUGCACAUCCAAAAUGCAUGAGCCCUGACAGCUACUGUGCUGAACUGCUCUGUAAUCUUGACAGAUUCGAUGAACUUCAGACAUGGAGUCAUCAGACGAUGUGAGCAGUAAGAACAC
rnacentral:lncRNA from 1 species